GAUGAACGCUGGCGGCGUGCCUAAUACAUGCAAGUCGAGCGAACGGACGAGAAGCUUGCUUCUCUGAUGUUAGCGGCGGACGGGUGAGUAACACGUGGAUAACCUACCUAUAAGACUGGGAUAACUUCGGGAAACCGGAGCUAAUACCGGAUAAUAUUUUGAACCGCAUGGUUCAAAAGUGAAAGACGGUCUUGCUGUCACUUAUAGAUGGAUCCGCGCUGCAUUAGCUAGUUGGUAGGGUAACGGCUUACCAAGGCAACGAUGCAUAGCCGACCUGAGAGGGUGAUCGGCCACACUGGAACUGAGACACGGUCCAGACUCCUACGGGAGGCAGCAGUAGGGAAUCUUCCGCAAUGGGCGAAAGCCUGACGGAGCAACGCCGCGUGAGUGAUGAAGGUCUUCGGAUCGUAAAACUCUGUUAUUAGGGAAGAACAUAUGUGUAAGUAACUGUGCACAUCUUGACGGUACCUAAUCAGGAAGCCACGGCUAACUACGUG
rnacentral:rRNA from 1 species